GACCGCAGUAGAGAAUCUUGUGCAAUGAGCGAAAGCGUGACACAGAGAGGACGUGCCCAGUCUGUCAAACUUAAGUGCCAGCAGACGCGGUAAAACUUAAGGGCUGGUCUCUAUAACCAAAAGGCGUAAAGGAUGUGUCGGCCCAAUUAUAAGACAAGGUAAAGGGAAUUUUUCUGUAGUGGUAGAAUGCGGAAAUAGAAAAAAGAACCCCCCAAGUAAAAACAAAUUACUCUAAAGGCCGAGACAUGAGAGGGUGGGGAGCAAACAGGAUUAGAGACCCUGGUAGUCCAUCCCGGGAACUAUGAAGAUUGUGCUUGGCAGACCCGAAAGGUCAAAUCUUCCGCCUGAGUAGUACGAUCGCAAGAUUAAAAUUCAAAAAGUUUGGCUGUAUCACUUCUUAAAUUAGAGGAGCGUGUAGUUUAAUUCGAUAGUCCGCGUGUAACCUUACCCCAGCUAGAAAAAAACAGGUGUGACAUGGCCCCCUUAAGCCCAUGUACAAACAGGUGCUGCAUGGCCGUCUUAAGGCCGCGUGUUCAACAAGAGGGUGCGCAAUCCGCGCCUUAGCUCGGAGAAAGACAGGUCUCAUGGUCCUCAUGUUGGGGGAUUUAUGCACUACAUU
rnacentral:rRNA from 1 species